rnacentral:rRNA from 1 species
UACGUAGGUGGCAAGCGUUGUCCGGAUUUAUUGGGCGUAAAGCGAGUGCAGGCGGCUCGAUAAGUCUGAUGUGAAAGCCUUCGGCUAAACCGGAGAAUUGCAUCAGAAACUGUCGAGCUUGAAUACAGAAGAGGAGAGUGGAACUCCAUGUGUAGCGGUGAAAUGCGUAGAUAUAUGGAAGAACACCGGUGGCGAAGGCGGCUCUCUGGUCUGUUACUGACGCUGAGGCUCGAAAGCAUGGGUAGCGAACAGG